UAUGAUUUCAUAUUUAUAGAAUAUAUAACUGUGAUUUCUAAAUGUGGUUCGUAUUUAUAGAAGAUAAUAUUUAAAUGCUAUUUAAUACUCAGAAUAUAUGUAUAAAUAUGUACAUAUAAAUUUGGCAUAUAUCUUGGCAUAUGUUUAUAGUAUUUACUCUGUUAUAAUAGGGGUGCACAAUAGACCAUUGCUGGUCACAGUGCUUGGGCUGGGUAGGCUCCUCCCUUUUUACUGCUACUGUCAUAAUAGGAAAAUUAUCAAUUACUCAUAUUUUGAUGGUAUUCUGUAUUGUAUUUUACAUUAAUUUUGUUUU
rnacentral:lncRNA from 1 species